rnacentral:rRNA from 1 species
UACGGAGGGGGCUAGCGUUGUUCGGAAUUACUGGGCGUAAGGCGCACGUAGGCGGCUUUGUAAGUUAGAGGUGAAAGCCCAGGGCUUAACCCUGGAAUUGCCUUUAAGACUGCAUCGCUAGAAUCGUGGAGAGGUAAGUGGAAUUCCGAGUGUAGAGGUGAAAUUCGUAGAUAUUCGGAAGAACACCAGUGGCGAAGGCGACUUACUGGACACGUAUUGACGCUGAGGUGCGAAAGCGUGGGGAGCAAACAGG